rnacentral:rRNA from 1 species
UACGUAGGGACCAAGCGUUGUCCGGAAUCAUUGGGCGUAAAGCGCGCGUAGGCGGCCCGGUAAGUCCGUUGUAAAAGUCGAAGGCUCAACCUUCGAAAGCCGAUGGAUACUGCCGGGCUAGAGUACGGAAGAGGCGAGUAGAAUUCCUGGUGUAGCGGUGGAAUGCGCAGAUAUCAGGAGGAACACCGGUGGCGAAGGCGGUUCUCUGGGCAUUCCCUGACGCUGAGGAGCGAAAGUGUGGGGAGCGAACAGG